rnacentral:rRNA from 1 species
UACGGAGGGUGCAAGCGUUGUCCGGAUUUAUUGGGUUUAAAGAGCUCGUAGGCGGCUUGUUGCGUCUGCUGUGAAAUCCCGGGGCUUAACCCCGGGCGUGCAGUGGAUACGGGCAGGCUGGAGGCAGGCAGGGGAGAAUGGAAUUCCCGGUGUAGCGGUGAAAUGCGCAGAUAUCGGGAGGAACACCGGUGGCGAAGGCGGUUCUCUGGGCCUGUUCUGACGCUGAGGAGCGAAAGCGUGGGGAGCGAACAGG